GUUCCAAAAUGGGCUAGGGUUAGGGGUAAGGUCUAAGGUUUAGGGUUAAUUCACAGAUCCCACUCAGUGUCAUGUACUGGGUCCAGUGCUGGAUAUGCAUUUAUUUUAGGUAUCUGAUUAGUGGAAGUCAUAUCAGUAGAAUUUUUUUUUUCACAGCUUCCUCCCCCCACCCCAAAUUACCCAAUGUCAGUUUACGCAGACCACGUCCAG